rnacentral:lncRNA from 1 species
UUUUAUUUAUUUGACAGAGGGGAAGCAUAAGCGGGGGAGUGGCAGGCAGAGGGAGAAACAGGUUCCCCUCAGAGCAGGGAGCCCAAUGUGAGGCCCAGGACCCUGAGAUCAUGAUCAGAGCCAAAGGCAGAUGCAUAACUGACUGAGCCACCCGGAUGCCCUAUACACACAUCUUUUCUUUUUUUUAAAAUGCAGACAUUUAAAAGCUGCUAUAAUUGAUUCUGAAGACAUGAAGAUCUAGAACUGCCAUUUCUAAAAUUCAUUGUGAAAUGGAUUUUUUAUUAAUUUUUGCCAAACUUAUCUUUAUGUUUAGAACUUUUGCAAGCUAGUUUAUAUUUUUCUUCUGUUUUGAAAUAAAAAUUAACAGAAAGCAUUCUUUGAACAACUAUGAGUAAAGCUAGAUUGACAAAUAUGACUACACUAUCUACUGAGCAUGUUUAUGUAGAGAAAAUCAAUUUUGAAGAAUACAUUGACAAAUUUUCAGAAGUCAUAGCUUCAAAAUAGAAACUGUAGUCAUUAUUCAUUGCUAUGGCAGACCAAUGUAUAAGUACAUAUUUAUUUUCCAUGUUUUAAAAAUACACUAAUAUAAUUGAGAAGAAUGGUUUAUAGUUUUUAUUGUAUGUUAUUUUUAUUUUUAAUAUAACAAUUAUAUACAAAAAGUUCAAUAACAAUAAAAUUUCCCUCUAAGCAUUUCAUUUUUGUGCAUUAUUAUUAUUUGUUUUACAUCAUGGUUAUAACUAAAAAUAAUUUUGUCAUAUAGAAAAGUAUGUUCUUAAAAAAAAAGAUCUGAUCCAGGUGUCAAAUAUGCUAAGUACAUCACUUAUGGUAAUUCCUAUUCAGUCAAAGAGGCGAUUCAGAUUUCUAAUCAAAGACAAAAGUGGUUUAUGCACAUGAAAGUAAAAUUUCAUUGUCAAGGAUUAUCAGAAUGAAAAGGAAAUAAUGUUGAUUUUAUUUAUAUUUUUUAAAGUCCAUUUAGAAGAAAGGAUAAUUAAUUCUAAGUCAUCAAAAGCCCUUUCAAACUAACUAAAAAUAUAUAGACAAGGGCAUUCUUUUUUAUUAGAUUAGAUAUCGAAAGUGUUGUAAGAGAAAAUUAAGUAGAUCAAAGAAUAUGAACAGACAUGUUUAGAGGUAAAUAGCAAUAAUAUCUCUAUGUUUUUUUUUUUCAAAAUUUUUCUGUGAUGUUCAUCAUAUGACUUUAUUUAAGCACUUCAACUAUUUCAUGCAAAAAUAGGUCAAGGUAAAUAUUUGGGACAGAAACCACAUUUAAUGGAUUGAGGAGUGAAUGGGCUUUGAUGAAGUGAAAACAAAGAAAGAAGGUAACUUGAUUAAACUCUGAUGAUUCCAAUAUGUAAUUAAUCCUAAUUAAAAAGUGUAGUGGCACUGGGAGUUUGAACUAUAGAUUUGCACUGAGAUGUGGUGUGC